rnacentral:rRNA from 1 species
UACGUAGGGUGCAAGCGUUGUCCGGAAUUAUUGGGCGUAAAGGGCGCGCAGGCGGCCACGCACGUCCGUUGUGAAAUCGCUCGGCUCAACUGGGCGGGGUCAGCGGAUACGGCGUGGCUGGAGCAAGCUAGGGGGCAAUGGAAUUCCCGGUGUAGUGGUGGAAUGCGUAGAUAUCGGGAGGAACACCAGUGGCGAAGGCGGUUGCCUGGAGCUUUGCUGACGCUGAGGCGCGAAAGCGUGGGGAGCGAUCCGG